UGAAACCUAGUGAUAUACGUUUUAGUGGCGGACGGGUGAGUAACGCGUGGGUAACCUGCCGUAUUCUGGGGGACAACAGUUGGAAACGACUGCUAAUACCGCAUAAGACCACAGAGCCGCAUGGCUCAGGGGUAAAAACUCCGGUGGAAUACGAUGGACCCGCGUCUGAUUAGCUAGUUGGUGAGGUAACGGCCCACCAAGGCGACGAUCAGUAGCCGGCCUGAGAGGGUGAACGGCCACAUUGGGACUGAGACACGGCCCAAACUCCUACGGGAGGCAGCAGUGGGGAAUAUUGCACAAUGGGCGAAAGCCUGAUGCAGCGACGCCGCGUGAGUGAAGAAGUAUUUCGGUAUGUAAAGCUCUAUCAGCAGGGAAGAAAAUGACGGUACCUGACUAAGAAGCCCCGGCUAACUACGUGCCAGCAGCCGCGGUAAUACGUAGGGGGCAAGCGUUAUCCGGAUUUACUGGGUGUAAAGGGAGCGCAGACGGCUGAGUAAGUCUGAAGUGAAAGCCUGGGGCUCAACCCCGGAAUUGCUUUGGAAACUAUUUAGCUAGAGUGCAGGAGAGGUAAGUGGAAUUCCUAGUGUAGCGGUGAAAUGCGUAGAUAUUAGGAGGAACACCAGUGGCGAAGGCGGCUUACUGGACUGUAACUGACGUUGAGGCUCGAAAGCGUGGGGAGCAAACAGGAUUAGAUACCCUGGUAGUCCACGCUGUAAACGA
rnacentral:rRNA from 1 species